GUUCAGCUUCUGUCUUGACUUUUUCUCUCUUCAUCGCUCACUCACAUCGUUCACUGUAAGCUCAAGCUCAAGUGCUCUCUCUCCGUUCUUCUUCGCUUUCACUAAUGCCUAUGCCUAGUGAGUGACGCUGACUCUGGUGUUAUAUCCAUGGGAAACACAAGAUGCAUGCUCAAAUUUGUGGGUUUGCACACAGUGCAAAUAAGCUGUGAGUCAGACGAGAAGGUUGAAAAAUUACACAAUGAUGACAAUCUAUGUUCUAAUUCAGAGUCUGAAACUUAGUAGUCUAAAGAAGAGACUACAAAUGUGAAUGCAUCUGGUAAGGCCUGCCUACAUAUAGCAUACUAUUUUUCGUCAUACUCUACUGAAAUGGUCCAAGUAUCGAUUUGGUUUGAUGAUAUUAGAUCCUUCUUUGCAUAUUUAGAAUUUCUGAAGUGCAGCUAUUGGCCAUAUUUUGUCUAUUUAGAAUUUCUGAAGUGUAGCUAUUUAGAAUUUUGUGUCUAUUGGCCAUAUUUUGUCUUGGGAAAUGCAUCGUUUUCAGGUUGGGGAAGAAAAUGCCGCCUUGGAGGUUUGGAGAGUCUCUUGGAACCAUUGCUAGCGAGUCGGUGUCGUUGCUCACAACUCUUAGGCAAAUUACCAAGGAUAUGAGAAACGCUAUGAUUAGGAUUGUAGAGUCUAAGUUUGAUUAUCCUCAUACCAGCAAUGGAAAAAUGGAUUCUAGAUUCCUCAAAUUCUAAAUGGAGAUAUUGGAAAAGUGAUCUAAAAGCUGCUCACUAUGGUAACUCUAAAUCAUAAUUGGAUCAUUAGAAGAAUCUGUUAGAGAGAGAGAAGAGAUCAAUGGAAAAAUCUCAUUGCUUUUUGGAGUUCAAAAGAAGGGGAGGUACAAAUCUUGUUCUAGCAUCGUUUUAAUAUGACCCGUCGACAUUAAAUAGACUUUCAUUAACUGUCAAUGACUAUUUUGUCAUAACCUUGAAUUUUUUUUUUUUUUUUUUUUUGCAAAAGCCAAGUGAUGCAAAUAAGGCUGACAAAGCAAAGCAAAAGAUAUAACACACCUUAAGGAAUAUAAAUAUUGCUUGAAUAACAGCAGCAAAGCUACUCUCAUGUUUCAUCUUAAAUUUUUGUGUUUCCCUAUAAGUGAUAUUUCCAAUGUAAUUGAUAAUUUUGUUGUACAAAAGAUGCUGCUGAGGCGACACAUCUUUGAACCUAAGGUAAAGAUGUCCAAAGAUAUUUGCCACUUUUCCGACAAUAGGCUUGUAUUAAUAGCAAUUGUCAUAGGAAAAAAACAUAGGACGUGUGCUAGAAUUGCCUCCCUAAGAAUGUCUAAGUUCUUAGCACCUGCAUUGAUAUAUUGUCAUUCACAUAGCUCUAUGAUUUGGAUUUGCUAGUAACUGCACAAUAAUCCACAACUAGGUUCAGGCUUUUCUAGUGCACAUAGCUCACCAUCAUUAACAAAAGAGCUAUGCAGCAGCUAGAGCUAUGAAGUAUUGAGAUGGUGAAACUUGUAAAAUUUUCUAUUAAUAUGCUAACGUGACCACAUAUUGGUUUAAUGAGAGAGAUCGAACAGGAAAGUAUUGCAGCCCUAGACUACUCAAUUACUAGUUGUGCAUUUCACAUGCAUGCACACGUCCCCACAAUAGUUGAAAAGCCAUUCAAUAUAGUUCAUGACAAUAUUCCUGCUACAAUGUAUUAGGAAUUUAUGCAAAUAUCUGAGCAGAAGAUAAAUGGAUCGAGAAAAGAGGGCAAGCUGGAAUAAAUAGUCUAAAAUCAAAACCAAAAGUCUAACUUCCCAAUGUGUGUUUUCUUAAGGUUUCGGUGGAUGACAAGUCAUAUAGCAAUCAACAAGGAACAACUAUAGAGAGGAAGAAUGUGAUUACUUUUUUAAUUUGAUAUCUCUAGACAUCUUUCCCCGUUUCACUGGAAAGUGUGAAAUAUCAAAUGUCUUAUUGAUAUGGCUUGUUCAGUUAUGCUGACUAACCAAGUCCUGGCACAUGAUAGGAAGCAGAGGUAGGAAUUGAAGGCAAUCAUGUGUAUUUAUGAAUUCAGCUUAAAUGCUCUCCAAUACAUUGUAACAUCAUUAGUUUAAUAAAUUCUUUAUGUUACUUAACUGCAUGGAAGUAUGAAUGAUCUCAUGGAGGUAUAUUUGGAACUUAAGAAGAGCAAUACCCACUUGAAAUAUUGUUUCUAUAAUGUUGGGAAAAGAGAAACUUGGACAUGUCUAAUGCCAGAGCUUAGCACAUGUUCUAGUGAUUUGGGGCCUGCAAUCUUGUUGUACACCAAGAACUUAAGGCCAAAGAAGAAGGAUGAAGAGAUUCAAUUGAAGGAAUCUAGUUGUCUUCCAACUGAGAACUUAAGGUCAGAGAAUGAGAAAGAUGAAGAGAUUCACAAGUUGAAGGAAAUACUGAAGGCAACAAAAGAGCAAUUACAAAAGACAAAUAGAGAUGUACAAGAGUUAUAGGCUCAAAAAGAUGUCUACCAUUAUACAAAAUAGUCAGCAUGUGGCGGACUUGAAGUGGUCUCACAAGAUCUGGACUAGGAACUAUGUCAUGAGCCAUGAGGUGUGACUAAUUUCAUUGAACGUUAAAAUAGUGAAAGGUGCGUUAUUUACUAAAUAUCAAGUGUCUUGGAUAUUGGACACCAAGUGGUUUUAAAGGAAAUAUUGGUGGAUAGACUUGAAACAGGAGUUUGGCAUCAGGAUCGCUUCAAUGGAGCUUGAAAGUGGAAUAUAAAUGUAGCAUGGCGUAUCCAUGUUUUUCCUUUUUGCUGUGUCUAAUCAUGUUUUGGGCUUACUUUUCUUGUAUUAUGCCUUGUCCCUCUUGUUUAGUUUGAAAUAUAUAAGUGAUUGCCCCUAUUAGUCACUGUUGGGUGUUGCUCUUUCUUUCAAGGGUUCUAGAUAGUCACUAUUGAGCCCUCUUGUCCAUCUUUGUUUGGAUCUUGGAGUGUCACAUUAUCUUUUUUGUUGAAGAAAUGUUGAAAUGUUGCUCGUUUUGGCACUUGAGAGUGGUUGAGGGACAUGGUCAAAUGCUUGGAAAUAGUCUCUGUUGAUGUGUGGGUUUACUAGAUUUUACUUGAUACCAUAUGCUGAUUAUCUUGCACUGCUCUACUUUUGGCCCUCAAUGCAUUUAUUUUUCUUCUUGCUCUUAAGUUAGGGUUCUAUUUUCAUAAUCGAACUUCUCAUGUUUACUGGGUUGGAGCAAUGAUUGUGAUUUGUGAACUCUGCCUCUUGAUUUACAGCCAUUCAAUAUUGGUUGUAGUGUUUAUAAGAUGCUUUGGCCACUCAUAACCCUGUUUUUUGCAAUGAAGUGAAUGGAGCUCCUCUGUUCAUGUCUCUGCAUAUUUUCUCAAGUGAUGGAAAAUGUGGUUGAUCACGUCUCGUUCAUUUUGUUUUAAUUAAUAAGCUUUUAGUGCAAUCACGUAACAUUUUCUCUAUGUUUUGAUAUGCUUUACAGAUUGAUUACGAGCCCCUCUCUCCGUUAAUUUUGUUACUUUUUGUGAUCUAAGCUUUCUCUAAGUCCUUCUCCAGUCUGAAUUAUUGAAGGUUUAAUUAUGCGAUGUUUAAGUGAUCACUAAUAUGGUUUCUUGUGUCGGUUUCAUGCCCAUUAUGCUUAGUCUUCUUUCCUAUGCCUUUUGAUUUGUAAGAUGAUGACCAUCAUAACACACAAUAGAGAUUUCCAAGCAUCAUUUGGUACUUGCCA